rnacentral:tRNA from 1 species
AAUGAAGUGCCUGAUGAAAGGGUAAUUUUGAUAGAAUUAAUCAUGUGUAUUACACCUUC